AUCUAAUGAUUAUUUGCCUCCUCUCAUGGAAUCA
rnacentral:sRNA from 1 species